GAGUUUGAUCCUGGCUCAGGAUGAACGCUGGCGGCGUGCUUAACACGUGCAAGUCGAGCGAAGCACUUUUUUAGAACUCUUCGGAGGGAAGAGAGGGUGACUUAGCGGCGGACGGGUGAGUAACGCGUGGGCAACCUGCCUUACACAGGGGGAUAACAAUUAGAAAUGAUUGCUAAUACCGCAUAAGACCCCGGUAUCGCAUGGUACAGGGGUAAAAACUGAGGUGGUGUAAGAUGGGCCCGCGUCUGAUUAGGUAGUUGGUGGGGUAGAAGCCUACCAAGCCGACGAUCAGUAGCCGACCUGAGAGGGCGACCGGCCACAUUGGGACUGAGACACGGCCCAAACUCCUACGGGAGGCAGCAGUGGGGAAUAUUGCACAAUGGGGGAAACCCUGAUGCAGCGACGCCGCGUGAGUGAGGAAGUAUUUCGGUAUGUAAAGCUCUAUCAGCAGGGAAGAAAAUGACGGUACCUGACUAAGAAGCCCCGGCUAACUACGUGCCAGCAGCCGCGGUAAUACGUAGGGGGCAAGCGUUAUCCGGAUUUACUGGGUGUAAAGGGAGCGUAGACGGAAUUGCAAGUCUGAUGUGAAAAUCCGGGGCCCAACCCCGGAACUGCAUUGGAAACUGUAUUUCUAGAGUGUCGGAGAGGCAAGUGGAAUUCCUGGUGUAGCGGUGAAAUGCGUAG
rnacentral:rRNA from 1 species